AGGGAGGGGAAGGCUGGCAGCUCAACACGUGAAUGCCACUGCCCAGUGAUAUGUGUGUAUGAGUGUGAGUAUGUCAGUGUCAGUGUGAGUGUCAGUGUGUUAGUGUGUGCGUGAGUAUGUUAGUGUGUAUAAGGGUGAGUGUGUGAGUAUGUUAGUGUGUGUGUGUGAGUGGGAGUGGGUGUGAAUGAGCAGGGCCUGCACAACCAGGGAGUGCUGGCCUGGCAGCCAAUACUGCUGGUAGCGUUGUUACACUGAUUUAAAAGCUGUACCUCUCUGCCAGCACUUCAUAGAGGGGAUGCUGGGAGUUGUGGUGGUAAAUAUUUGUCCAGUACAGAUUGAUGAUUUACUAUUGUCAGCGCUGAUAUAUUCAGAUUUGUAAGUGAAUGCCAGGUGAAUACCAGGCAUGGGAUUGGAGCUGUGGUCAAUGAAGAGUUAUCAUUAAGGCAUUUAAAGAAGAACCAGGCCAGUGGUGCACACCAGCUCUGAGAAUGCACCGGUCUGGCCAUCCCUAUCUCUGCUGCAAAUCAGUUCAGCUUGAGGCAGUUCUAAAGUGCAGCGCAAGUGGAUUGGGUCGCACCACUCAGUGGCCCUGGCACACUCUUGAAGGCAAGAUCACCACUCUCACACACAGCACCAAUGGAGAUGGAGCUUCUGAAUUCCUCCUCCCUUCUCCCCUCUCUCUCAUUCCCUUGCUUCACGCAGCAGCAGGAGCUGCUAGGCAGAUCAGUCACAGGAGCCCAAGAGCAGAUCCCGCAUUCCAGCCAGACAAGGCCACAUUGUGAAUCUCAGCAGCAAAUGGAUGCGUUUCACCAAUUUGUUUUCAUCAUUGGGCAGAAGAACAAUAACCCACUUAUUAAUAACCCAGAGAAGGACUUAUUGUUCCCUAUAAAGGAAAUUACUACAUCUUGGAAUACAGGGAGCAAUCUGGGUUGAUAUUUUUUUAAUCUUGUCCCAAUUUACAUCCAGGCUGGGACUCGGCAAAAUGCCAUCCUUUAAACUGGUUAUAUUAAUCAGAAUGUGCAUGGCCCAAAUAAACCUGUCCAUGCCAAAACAGAUAAUAAUAUGGUCCGAAAUAGUUCCUUGCUUGAUCUGGAGAACAAGAUGCCAUAUCUAAAAUGUUCAAAGCUGAACAUCUCUACUUACUGAUGCAUGGAUUUGGAAGUAAAAUUAAAUGGCCUUUAUAGACCAAACAAAAUCUACUUAAGUGAUAUUGGUUGGAUAUUUUUAAUGUGAAAGCCCCAAAACUUAUUUGAGAGUGUAGCUUUUUGGUGGGGAAGGGCCAAAGCUAAAGUCAUUUGGCAUGGAGGGAAGUUAAGCUGGUCUGUUAAUCUAUAUAAAUGAGCUCCUGGCUGUGUUCAAGGCAGAGUUGAAAGGAGGUCUGACAAGAACAGGCUGGCCAGGAUCUAAUUAAGUAGCGUAUAGGAGAACUAAAGCUUAUCAAAGAAACAGGCUGAAAUUGCUGCACAUUAUGUUUUGAGAUUUUGUACCAUCCCAAGGCUGCCACAGUCCUUUAUCAGUGAAGAUUGGUAAAUCUGAAGUUGUGCAGUUUGCUUAAGAAUUUAAUGAUCAGCCCUGUAGCAUUUUCUGCUUUAUGACAACUCAUAAGUUUAGCUUUUAACAACUGCCCAGAUCACAUUGAGUAUCUGUGUGUCCUAACAAGAUCCAAGAUGGUGACCCCCUGUCCACAACUUUGAAGGCCUGAAUCAUUACAGUACAUGUAGUAUAUAAAAUACAGCAUUUUCGUCCCAUAUUUGUUUUGGGGAUUUAGUGCUCAUUUAAGUAAGUGAUUUAACCCUUUCCCUGCCAUCAA